rnacentral:rRNA from 1 species
CAGUGGUGAUUGCGACAAGGCCACACCCGUUCCCAUCCCGAACACGACCUGUCUGAUACAAAGAUGUAAGCUUGCCUGCGCCGAUGGUACUUCACGGGUAGCUGUGUGGAAGAGUGGGGCGCCGCCGGAAUU